rnacentral:sRNA from 1 species
UGUGGACAUCAGAGGAUGACUCUUGGGAGUCCAUUUUCUCCUUCUACAGUGUGGUUGUCAGGGAUAAAACUCAGGUUAUCCAGCUUGGCAGCCUUUUCCCUCUGAGCCAUCCUCCUGGGCCAUGGUUUUCUUUUUCAAAUCGCAGAGCUCAGGGGAUGGAGCAGAGCCAGUUAGAGUGUCUUAAAGCCAGGCUCUACUGUCACGAGUGAAGCCUGUUCUGUUACUGAGAAAUCAGGAAACAGAUAAUGACAAACGGCAGAUCUUUAAGUCUUCUGAUUGCAUGAUUAAGUCUUUUCAAGUUUGUGUGUGAACAGGAUCGGCUUCAUAUCCUGGGAAUUUCGACAUCCAGCAAAGGAGAUCCUACUGGAAAUGGUUGGGGGAGUGGUUUCAUCAUUUCCAACUUCUGACAGAAGUAAAAGAAUGCUGUAUUGCCACCAGCAACAACACUGGAUUUUUAAAGAAUAUGCAGAUGAUAAAAUCUUUUUUCUUUUACUUUUUGUUUGUGUAUCUCUGGUGUUGGAGCCCAAGGCUUUGUGAAUGCUGGCUGAACUCUCUAUCCCUGAGCUACAGUCUCAGCCCCACGAAAAUGAAUGUUUUUGUAAAAGUUUAUUUCUCAGAAAUUCUGUGAAGUAAACCAUCUUGUUCUUCUAGCCAAGGCAUCUGGGGCACAGAGGCCCACUGUUCCUCCUAUCCCAUUUGCUUCGACCGCCUCUCCAUACUGUUCCUCAAGCUGAACCUCGUGCCAUCUUCUCCAGAAGGUUAUGUUUUUUUGAGUCUCCAAAAUCUCAUCCUGAUGUGAUAUGCCUUCCUCCUUGGACCCAUGGGCACCUUUUGUGAAGUCUUAUAGAAAUUUAUUAUUAUUCUGAAAUACGCUGUAUAUGGACUAGGUGUUCUCUGGUGCAGAGGAAAUACUCUGCCAAUCAAAUGAAAACCUGGGGGUCCCAUUGACUUUAGGCACAAAGAUUCUCCAGAGACAACGCAUAGAGAAUCCUUGCGGAGCAGCGGGUCUGGAUCAUGAAGACAGGGUGGACAUGGAGCACGCACUCAGAUGUGAUGGAACAGCCUUUCUAGUCUGAAGUCUAUGAAGGGGAAAAUGAGACUGUGAUCUCUGAAUGAACAAGUCUGCUCAGCACAGGCCUGCAAAUCACCAGGCCCUGCAAGUGCUUGGGAAGGUCGCAAACAAAGUGGGGAGCCACCCCUCAAAUGCACACGCUUGGUGCCAGAGCUGGUGGGCUUUAAGCAAGGCACACACAGAGAGAAGAAAACAGACAGAGGAACUCACAUCACUUUUGCUUCCAGAUGAGUCACCUUCCUUCUGAUCCAAGCAACACUGUCCUGUUCCUUUCUGCAGACAACCAUCUGACUCCUGAGGACAUGAAGUGCUUCAUGUGAACAAUACUUUUUAUAUGCAAAUAAGGACGUGCCCUGGAGGUUUGGAUAAUCUCUAUGAGACCUCAGAACCUGAAGUCUUCUACUUAACCAGGGACAGCACAAGGCUGUUCUUGCUAUGUUUGUUUAUUUUUAUAAGGUAACUUAUGAAAUACAUACCAUAUAAACAUGUAAUAUAAAAUAGCACAAUGUGCAGAAGUCUAAAAGAAACACCCAGUGCCCAGCGCUGGCAUUUUGAUGUACUUGAGAUUAUAUUGUAUUUAUAUCCUAUAUACACUGUACUCAGUAGAUGAACAUCAUUCAUUGCAAUUACAAUAUCAUGUUCAUAUUGGAGCUAUUUUAGGGUAAUGACCAAUGGUAAAAUGCACUUUUUAUGGUAUUUUUCAGGGCAACCACAAUGAUUUGGAACAUUGUUCAUUAUAAUUCACAUGGAACCUUUAUGAAAGGGAAACAGUUUAAGUGCAAAAGGGAUGUGCAGCUGGUUGCUUGGGUUCUCGGGAGAAACAUUCACCAAAGCAAAGCAUGGCCCGAGUCCUGAUGUUUACAGACACCUCAGCGGCACUGCAUAGAUGCUCAACUGGCGGCAAGUGUCUGGACAGCUGGCUAGUCCACAUGACUUCCCUUUGUGCUUCUAGACCACAUCAAAGUUGGUGUAAUGCUCACCUGGUCUUCAGCAAGUCCUGGCAACUCCAGUGAGUCCCCGCCCUCUGCCCCGUCCCUUUGUGAUGACUUUGUCUGUCUUGGUUGUGAUGGUCUUACAAACCCCAUUCUUGUGUCCCCAGCUUUGACCACCUGUUCUUCUCAUUCCUACUUCAUAUGAUGUGUCUCCAAUCACCCACCCUUGUGUACUCACCAUGCA